GACGAACGCUGGCGGCGUGCCUAACACAUGCAAGUCGAGCGAAAGGACGAGAAGUUUGCUUCUCUGAUGUUUGCGGAGGACGGGAGUGUAACACGUGGAUCACAUACCUAUAAGUCUGGGAUCACUUCGGGAAACCGGAGCUAAUAGCGGAUGAUAUUCUGAACCGUAUGGUUCAAAAGUAAAAGACGGUCUUGCUGUCACUUAUAGAUGGAUCAGCGCUGCUUUAGCUAGUUGGUAAGGUAACGGCUUACCAAGGCAACGAUGCAUAGCCGACCUGAGAGAGUGGUCGGCCACACGGGAGCUGAACCAGGGUCAAUACUCCUACGGGAGGCAGCAGUAGGGAAUCUGCCGCAGUGGUCGAAAGCCUGACGGAGCAGCGCGGCGUGUGAUAUAAAGGUCUUGGGUUCGUAAAACUGUGUUACUGGGUAAGAACAGAUGUGUAAGUAACUGUACAGAUCUUGACGGUACCUAAUCAGAAAGCCACGGCUAACUACGUG
rnacentral:rRNA from 1 species